rnacentral:rRNA from 1 species
GACGAACGCUGGCGGCGUGCCUAAUACAUGCAAGUCGAACGAAGUGGGGACGGGUGAGUAACACGUGGGUAAUCUCCCAUCAGAGGGGAUAACACUUGGAAACAGGUCCUAAACCGAUACUGCUGGAUGGACCCGCGGUGCAUUAGCUAGUUGGGGGGGUAACGGCUCACCAAGGCCACGAUACAUAGCCGACGGGAGGGAGGGAUCGGCACAAGGGGGACUGAGACAGGGCCCAGACUCCUACGGGAGGAGCCGGUGGGGAAUCUUCGGAAAGGGACGAAAUUCGGACCGACAACGCCCCCUUGGGUGAUGCAGGUUUUGGGUUCGUAAGACUCUGUUGUUAGGGAAGCGGUAUCUAACCAGAAAGCCACGGCUAACUACGUGCCAGCAGCCGCGGUAAUAC